rfam:Triticum aestivum genome assembly, contig: Triticum_aestivum_CS42_TGACv1_scaffold_425266_5BS
GUAGUACUCCCUCCGUCCCAAAAUUCUUGUCUUAAAUUAGUCUAGAUACGGAUGUAUCUAAUACUAAAACCUGACUUGAUACAUCUGUAUUUAGACAAAUCUAAGACAAAAAUUUUAGGACGGAGGGAGUAUAUA